AUUGAACGCUGGCGGCAUGCCUUACACAUGCAAGUCGAACGGCAGCACGGGUGCUUGCACCUGGUGGCGAGUGGCGAACGGGUGAGUAAUACAUCGGAACGUACCUUAUCGUGGGGGAUAACGCAGCGAAAGCUGUGCUAAUACCGCAUACGCCCUGAGGGGGAAAGCGGGGGAUCGCAAGACCUCGCGCGAUUAGAGCGGCCGAUGCCUGAUUAGCUAGUUGGUGGGGUAAAAGCCCACCAAGGCGACGAUCAGUAGCUGGUCUGAGAGGACGAUCAGCCACACUGGGACUGGGACACGGCCCAGACUCCGACGGGAGGCAGCAGUGGGGAAUUUUGGACAAUGGGGGCAACCCUGAUCCAGCAAUGCCGCGUGAGUGAAGAAGGCCUUCGGGUUGUAAAGCUCUCUUGUCAGGGGAGAAACACCGGCUCUAACACAGUCCGGGAAUGACGGUACCUGAAGAAUAAGCACCGGCUAACUACGUGCCAGCAGCCGCCGUAA
rnacentral:rRNA from 1 species